AGAACCUGAAACCGUGUGCUUACAAGUAGUCAGAGCCCGUUAAUGGGUGAUGGCGUGCCUUUUGUAGAAUGAACCGGCGAGUUACGAUUUGAUGCAAGGUUAAGCAGUAAAUGUGGAGCCGUAGCGAAAGCGAGUCUGAAUAGGGCGUUUAGUAUUUGGUCGUAGACCCGAAACCAGGUGAUCUACCCUUGGUCAGGUUGAAGUUCAGGUAACACUGAAUGGAGGACCGAACCGACUUACGUUGAAAAGUGAGCGGAUGAACUGAGGGUAGCGGAGAAAUUCCAAUCGAACCUGGAGAUAGCUGGUUCUCUCCGAAAUAGCUUUAGGGCUAGCCUCAAGUGAUGAUUAUUGGAGGUAGAGCACUGUUUGGACGAGGGGCCCCUCUCGGGUUACCGAAUUCAGACAAACUCCGAAUGCCAAUUAAUUUAACUUGGGAGUCAGAACAUGGGUGAUAAGGUCCGUGUUCGAAAGGGAAACAGCCCAGACCACCAGCUAAGGUCCCAAAAUAUAUGUUAAGUGGAAAAGGAUGUGGCGUUGCCCAGACAACUAGGAUGUUGGCUUAGAAGCAGCCAUCAUUUAAAGAGUGCGUAAUAGCUCACUAGUCGAGUGACACUGCGCCGAAAAUGUACCGGGGCUAAACAUAUUACCGAAGCUGUGGAUUGUCCUUUGGACAAUGGUAGGAGAGCGUUCUAAGGGCGUUGAAGCAUGAUCGCAAGGACAUGUGGAGCGCUUAGAAGUGAGAAUGCCGGUGUGAGUAGCGAAAGACGGGUGAGAAUCCCGUCCACCGAUUGACUAAGGUUUCCAGAGGAAGGCUCGUCCGCUCUGGGUUAGUCGGGUCCUAAGCUGAGGCCGACAGGCGUAGGCGAUGGAUAACAGGUUGAUAUUCCUGUACCACCUAUAAUCGUUUUAAUCGAUGGGGGGACGCAGUAGGAUAGGCGAAGCGUGCGAUUGGAUUGCACGUCUAAGCAGUAAGGCUGAGUAUUAGGCAAAUCCGGUACUCGUUAAGGCUGAGCUGUGAUGGGGAGAAGACAUUGUGUCUUCGAGUCGUUGAUUUCACACUGCCGAGAAAAGCCUCUAGAUAGAAAAUAGGUGCCCGUACCGCAAACCGACACAGGUAGUCAAGAUGAGAAUUCUAAGGUGAGCGAGCGAACUCUCGUUAAGGAACUCGGCAAAAUGACCCCGUAACUUCGGGAGAAGGGGUGCUCUUUAGGGUUAACGCCCAGAAGAGCCGCAGUGAAUAGGCCCAAGCGACUGUUUAUCAAAAACACAGGUCUCUGCUAAACCGUAAGGUGAUGUAUAGGGGCUGACGCCUGCCCGGUGCUGGAAGGUUAAGAGGAGUGGUUAGCUUCUGCGAAGCUACGAAUCGAAGCCCCAGUAAACGGCGGCCGUAACUAUAACGGUCCUAAGGUAGCGAAAUUCCUUGUCGGGUAAGUUCCGACCCGCACGAAAGGCGUAACGAUUUGGGCACUGUCUCAACGAGAGACUCGGUGAAAUCAUAGUACCUGUGAAGAUGCAGGUUACCCGCGACAGGACGGAAAGACCCCGUGGAGCUUUACUGUAGCCUGAUAUUGAAAUUCGGCACAGCUUGUACAGGAUAGGUAGGAGCCUUUGAAACGUGAGCGCUAGCUUACGUGGAGGCGCUGGUGGGAUACUACCCUAGCUGUGUUGGCUUUCUAACCCGCACCACUUAUCGUGGUGGGAGACAGUGUCAGGCGGGCAGUUUGACUGGGGCGGUCGCCUCCUAAAAGGUAACGGAGGCGCUCAAAGGUUCCCUCAGAAUGGUUGGAAAUCAUUCAUAGAGUGUAAAGGCAUAAGGGAGCUUGACUGCGAGACCUACAAGUCGAGCAGGGUCGAAAGACGGACUUAGUGAUCCGGUGGUUCCGCAUGGAAGGGCCAUCGCUCAACGGAUAAAAGCUACCCCGGGGAUAACAGGCUUAUCUCCCCCAAGAGUUCACAUCGACGGGGAGGUUUGGCACCUCGAUGUCGGCUCAUCGCAUCCUGGGGCUGUAGUCGGUCCCAAGGGUUGGGCUGUUCGCCCAUUAAAGCGGUACGCGAGCUGGGUUCAGAACGUCGUGAGACAGUUC
rnacentral:rRNA from 1 species